GUUGUGAGGAAAGUGCUGCAUUAGCAGAAAAACAACUCCAUAAAAGGAAAUCGGCCUUGGGUGUUCUAGUCUCUUCGCUUGCAGAUAUCUUUCGCCUGCAGGAUGAGGCGAUCGCUUCUUAUCGCUCUCAAGGCCAAAGUCGUGAGCACACAUUUUUAUUACACAGUUGCACAGUAACUUUAAAGCUGAACAAUAUUUAAAGCUGAAUAAUGUUUGAUCAAAUUAUAUUUUCUUCAAAUCCCCCUUUUGACCCAUCUUAAAUGGGUCAACACACAAAAAUAAGUAAUGAUAAAAAUGUGGAGAGUACAGAGUAUACUAUAAUAAUGAGAGAUAUAAACGUGAAAAUGUGAAAGAAUAAAUCAACCGUAAAAUAAACUCAGAACGGUAACUGCUAAGGACAUUCAAAAGUGAAUAUGGUAAAACGUGAGGAAGGGGUGUGGAAUAAAACAAUUUAUAUCCAGUGGUGGGAGUACACAUUCGCUCAGGCUUAAGUCCGGAGACCCUGAGAACAUCGCUUAACCCUCACAACCCGACCAGACACAGUUCAACCAGAUAUAUCCUUCAAGAGGAAGUGGGUGAGGGAAACAAUUAAUAACAAGCCUAAUACAAAACACCACAGAGAAACAACCAUUCUAGAAGCAUUUAAACAAGAGAAAGACGAUAAUGUUCGUCACCCUCACGAUCAGAGUUUUCAUCAUCCGUUGGCGAGGAGGUAACCGUGUCUCGUUUCUUUCUAAAUGGAUCGGGCGUGGGCAAAACUGGAGAGGAAGUGGUGGGCAAGACCCUAGGGGCUACAUUUGUCAGAUUGGGACUGUCAGAAGGGGGCGAAGCUUUUGAACUUGAAGGUGUCAGAAGUGUCGGGGGCCCUUCACAGAUCAGGAUUAUGCCAAUGGGAAUGAGACCCAGGGCCAGGAAGCAAACAAAGACGCAACAUCUUUGCCUGCCUGUCAUUUCAGGGGGAAAGGGCCAAGACAUGUUUACUUAGCUUGGAUGUCGUCUAAUAGAGGAUGAUGGGGCACAGAAAGGUGGUCCAGUUCCCCCCACCUCGCCAAGGGCGUGUUCUAGGAGUUAAAGAGCAACAACCUGAGAGAGAGAGAGAGAGAGAGAGAGAGAGAGAGAGAGAGAGAGAGAGAGAGAGAGAGAGAGAGAGAGAGAGCGAGAGAGAGAGCCCCUAAUGGCCAGUUAGUGGGCUCUAGGUCAAACUGUCCCCAAAUUUGUUAUUUGUUAUUAUUACUUGUUUUCAUGUCACUUGUCUGUUUUCUACUGCACCCCUCUCACCAAAGCAAAGCAAACAUUAGCAGCACAUUGACCGUAGUCAGGCAUCCUCAUUCCAUAGGUGCUAUAAAACAUUUCCUGUAAAUACAGUGUAAUAGCAUCCCCAACUCCUAACCCAUAAACACCGUUUCUUCACACAUCCGCCCAGAAAUCCUGUAAUAGAAAAACAUUAAAACUGUAACCCUGUAGGGAAGAAAAUGUAAAUGGUAACGCUGCGCAGUUACCUCUGUAAGCAACACAAGACACAAAAAUGGCAUUUACAGGUUCACUCAUCCUCGAAUAUUUUGUCAUCC
ensembl:lncRNA